GGCUUGCUGGUAGUGAGUUCUACCCUUGAACGAGUCCCUUCUCUUUCCUCACAGCCCCAGGCCACUAAAUCUGGGGCUGAGGAGACCAAUAUUGACGCAGAAUCCCUUCACAAUUACAGUGGGGGCGGCAGGAGAUAGACGGGCCCCUGGGCCAGACAGCUGAUGUUUAUCAGUGGAGUAAAACUGAAGCUUCUCACCCAGACCCGCCAAGGACAAAGCUAGUGUCAGUAAAUGAGCUCUGCUGGAAUACUGAGCUCAAGGACACAUCCCUAGGAUGACUCUAGCCCCUUUUGAAGUGCCUGCCUGAGAAAACUCAAGACUGCCGAAGGGUCUUGUUCCAGCCAAUACCUGAAGGCACACACAGCGCAGCCGAGAGGAGCUACCCU